rnacentral:lncRNA from 1 species
CAGAACAUUGAUUUUGACAUAAUAAAGUCCAUAACAAUUAUGUCAACUUCUAUCCGGUAAUACUUUUUCUUUGUUCAAGUUGCCAGUAAUAGAGAGAGAAACUGAUGACAUCAACAAUUUGACACUCCACAAUUAAUUAUCACACGUAAUAUAACCAAUCCCCACACAUUUCUUUAAUACAUAAAUAUGCAUCUAAUUUUUCUAUACCAUAUCACUAAAAAUAAUAGGAUUCAAAUUUCACUCACACCUAGUAAAUACUAAACUUUAAUCCAAACCUCAACUCCUAAAUAAUAAACCCUAAACUUUAAACAUCACCCUUACAUCUAAAUACUAAACCCUAAACCCUAAUUACUAAACCCUAAACCCAAAUAUAAACCUUAAACCCAAUUAUCAAAAUCUGAAAAUAGUAUAUAAUAUUAUGUAAUAUUAAACUAAAUCCAAACAAAACUCCUCAAUGCUAAACUCAGACCUAACUUUUGAAUAUUAAACCGAAAAAUGCUAUCAUUAAACCCAAACCCAAACUUCCACCUUCCAAAUACUAAACCCUAAAUCCUAAUCACUAAACCCUAAACCCAAGUAUAGACUAUAAACCCAAAUAGAAUGGAACAAAAUACAUAGUAUAGUACAAAUUGGUGAGCAAAAAAAACACUCUUUUUUAAUCGUCAAAUGGAACAUACAUAAUACGGUCACUAAACCCAAACAUCAACCCCCACCUUCCAAAUACUAAACCCUAAAUCUUAAUCAUUAAACCUAAACCCAAGUAUAAACUCUAAACCCAAAUAGUAUAGAACAAAAUACAUAGUAUAGUACAUAUAGUUGUAAACUAGAAAUUGAUAAAUAAUGAAUUUAUCAAACAAUCGAUGGUACAAUAAUACAACAAACGUAGCAUACUAUUUAGUUUGGUACUUGCGAAUUGUACAAAAAUAUAAGAAUCGUACUAUACUAUAAUUUUUUUUUACUACAUAUAGUAUAGUCGACGAGUUCAUCUUCUUCACAUCUUCCUCUUUUUACAGACAUGGUGAUACACACAUUCACUAGUCCAGAGUAAUUAUUCUUCAUCAUACCAUAUCAAUACAACAUACUAUAACAAUUUAAAUAACAAUGAAAAAAAUCAAGAUGAACAACAUUGAAAAAAACUAAAAAGAAAAGAAAUCGUGAUGUCACCUCGUCGUUCUCUACGGUGCCAUCUUCUCUUCCAAACUCAAUUCAACAAGCCCAAAAUCCAUAUUCUUUAUUAGUCUAGUGGUUUGUGUUCGUAUGUAUGAAAAAAAAACAGAGAUUGGAAGAGAAGAGGAAGAAGAAGAGAAAGAGAUGUGGAACAAUGAUAACCACAAUUUAUUAAAUUAUUUAUUUAAUAUUUCUUUUAAUAAAUAAUUCUCAGCAGGUUACACAUGUUGAAUUGAAGAGUAAUAUAGCAUUAUUACAUAAAAUACAUGUAUUGUAGAUAAAAGUUAGGGAUUUUAGUCAUAGAAAUAAAUUAUAAUUUGUUUGAAGGUUAUACAGUCUAAUUUUCCUUUAAUUUAUUCAUUAUAUUUUUUUAUUGCAUAACUCGUUAAAGAAAUCUCACCAGUCGUCAUUGAAUGCGUACGACUUACGGGCUUCGGUAUAUAUGGUACUUACUUUGGUUAAAAUAAUCUGUAUACUAUGGACUCAGAAUCUCGAUGUUCGCGAACCUAUUAAACCUAGCUAGCUAUUGUGAAGAUUUUCAUUAUCCUAUAGUUUAGACCAUCUACAGUACAUAACUACGGGUUUUUCUACAUGACUUUCUUCCAAGACUAACUAAAUAUCAGUUACAUAAAAGAAAUCAAAUGUAUCAAGAACAACCAAAUAUGGAUCCGUCCAGCAGACGGAACCUUCCCGGAAAACAACACUUUAUUAUUAAUCCAUAAAAUAGGAAAACAAGCAAAUUAAUAAUAAAAGGGUAUAGAAGGAAAGAACAGUCAACCCCAAGAAUCGUCAAGCCACAUGAAAACGAACGUCGAUUCUGACUCGGCGAAUAUCCAGUCUUGUAUAUAAAUAUACACAUACAAUGAAUCAUCCAUAGAUCUCUUACUAAACACAUUUCUCACCCAAGUCUUCAAAGCAACCAACUUGAACUACCAGAGACUACUUAGGACAAGUUUUAUGGAGGGACCAAAUAGGAGGAGCAACAGCCAACCACAAGAUGACAAGCAAGCUCGCUUCCGAGGCGUACGGAGGAGGCCGUGGGGCAAAUUUGCAGCAGAGAUUCGAGACCCAUCAAGGAACGGUGCCCGUCUUUGGCUCGGGACAUUUGAGACCGCUGAGGAUGCUGCACGGGCGUAUGACAGAGCCGCCUUCAACCUUAGAGGGCAUCUAGCUAUACUUAACUUCCCUAAUGAGUAUUAUUCCCGCAUGGACGACUAUGCGCUUCGCCCUCCUUAUUCCUCUUCUUCUUCAUCAUCUUCGGGUUCAACUUCCACGGGCGUGAGUCGACAAAAUCAAAGGGAAGUUUUUGAGUUUGAGUAUUUGGACGGUAGAGUUCUUGAAGAACUUCUUGAUUCAGAAGAAGGGAAGAAACGUUAGUUUUGUUUUCUUUAUUUCAUGUGGCGCUCUGGUGGCUUAGCAGCUUAGCUACGUGUAUUAUGUGCAUGUAUCUGCUUACUUAUUACUUAUUUUGGAAUUUUGAUAACGUGCUAUACGGUCAUAAAUUGUAAGAUAAGAUGUAAUUUGCGUUUCCAUGAAAUAUGAUUAUUAGAUGUUUAAAGUAUAUGCACUAGCUUCCAUUACGUCCCUUAAUUUGUAGGGGAUAUUGUUCUCUAAUGAGAUUUACAUGCAGUUAAUAUUAUAUGAUAUAUUUCAAUAAUAUUGACGGCCCAAUCGUAUUACUUUAUAUAAUUUGUAGACAGAUUAAGUACAGUAAUCCUAUAAUGAAGCAUUGAUUAAUACCUCUCAAAGAACAUAUCCUUCCCUUAAACACAAAAUGGUCCAUUAGUUUUUCGUAAUUAUUUAAUUAGCGGGAUUAACAUGAUGAGAUACUAGAAUUGAAAGCAUACAUGAGAGUGUAAUUACCAUUUUGUAACGCAUUUUGAGAAAUCUCUACGUUUACAUUUGUUUGAUUUGGUUCAGCAUAGAUACUACCAACAGAAAAUUAAAAGUUCGUGCUGUGUAAAUGAAGACAAAACAUGAAUUGUUGAUAUACUCAAUUAUCAAAUCUUUUGAGAGUAGUGAAAUAGUCAAUGGAUGAGUGAGUGAUCUAAUGAAGGUCCAGAAAUAGAUAGAUAGUACAACAAUACAGCAUGGACCAUGUGUAUGAGAAUCUAGUUCACAAACAAAAUAAGUUUAACGUGACAACGUCAUCAAGGAAGAAAUUCUACUAAAAAGCAAGGUUAAUAUUCAAAGUUGCUUCUUGAUUUGAAAAAUUAUGAAUUGGUAUAUUUUUGUAGUUAUCUUAAAUCAGCAUUCUUAUACUGUUUUAAAUAUUCAGAAUAUCGAUUUUUGAAAAAAAUAAAUAAAUAUAAGUUCAAUUCACUAUCAUGAAUUACUGAUAGUGACUACGUAUUAUCAUCUCAAUUCACACAAUAGUAAUAUUGUAGUUUAUAUUAAUGUGGUGAGUCCAGAUGGCGAUAUGUAGUCGCUUAAGUUAAACCAACUAACAAUUAACAAAAAAUACACAAUGAUGAUCUACCUAGUAAAGUGGGCCAAAUUUUAUUUAAGUUGGUAAAACAAAAUCAUAUUAUAGAUGAAUAAUAAAAAGCAAACAAAAUUGGAUUUGCUUUUUAUUAUUUGUCAAACUACAAUAUUACUAUUGUGUGAAUCGAGAUGAUAAUAUUCACCAUCCCAGCAUAUAAAAUCUAUAUUAUCCAAAGUCCAAACAUAUGAUAAAACUGCUAAUUAUUUGGAUAUAUUAAUGUGAGUAAGUGAAUAUAGUAUUAAAACAUUGGGAAGAAGAAAACAAAAGAAGUGACAAAUUGAUCUAAUUAACAGUUGCGUUAUACCAAACAUCCUGGUUAUAACUCUCUCCACACUCUAGAAGCUCGUCCAACAAACUAUCGUCUAAAUACUCAAACUCAAUCACUUCCUUCCCGCCACCACCGUCUCUUUCACUAAACUCUGACGACGAAGAAGCCACCGCAUUCUCGCCACCACCACUUGGACCAUCCCUCAUCAUUGGGUACUCAAGAGGGAAUAAAUAGUGUAAAAAUAUAUUAGCUGAAAUACGAGCUAAUCUUCAAAAUCAUAGAAAUUUUUUUAUUUUAUAUAAUAAUCUGUAGAAGUGAAAAAUUUAUUUCCCAAACUCCAUAGUAUUUCAUAUAAAGAUUUUUAAUGCUAACUUCAAACUAAGUUUAUUUGUAUAAAAACUUCUAAACUACAGAAAUAACAUAAAAACUUCCAAUCUAACUUUAUUUUAAUGGAUUAAACACUCUAUCUGCAAUACUUGUAAAACAAAUCGCUGAGGCUAAAUAUUUAGUCUAAGAGUUUUUAUCCAAACUAAAUUUAGUUGAAAAACUUUAGCAUUAAAAUUAAAAAUAUAAUAAAAUUAUAUAAAAAAUUAAUGACUCGAAAUUAUAAAAUUCACACUUCAAAAAUAUUUUUCAAAUAGAUGAACUAGAUUGAUUUAAAAUCCAUGUUACAUAUAAUACAAUCUGAUACUGUUUUCUAAAAUACAUGCUUUUUGAAUCUGAACCGAACCCGAUUUCUUAUGCAAAUCUAGCUCAUCUAUUUUCAUAAUCAGUUUGAAGUACUAAUUUGCAAUUUGAAAUUAUUAACUUUUACAUAUUUUAAAUUCCCAACUAAAUUUGGUUAAAAAUCUUACCAUUGCUGCAGACAGAUAAACUAAUCCAUUAAAUAAAAUUAAUUUGAGAGUUCACUUUAAAUAUUUAGUUUAAUAGUUUGAAUCCGAAACAAACUUAUGAUUUUAGCAUUAAAAUAUUUCGUACAACUAUUAAACCAUCAAAUAUUAAUUUAAUAAUAUGUAGUUUUGUAGCAAUAAAAACUCGUUCACCUUAUUUUUAUCUCUAACUUAAAAUGUUAAUUAAAGUUUCUUUCUACUGCAAAUAUUUCUAAUUUCUUUCUACUGCAAAUAUUUCUAAUUUUUUUAUGGUCUCUAUCAAACUUGUAGCAAAUUAUAGCUUAAAACCAUAUUGGUUACAUUUGUUUUAAAGCAUUAAAUUAGUAUAAAAGCAUAAAUUCGAACAUAUAAUGUUGUGUAUAUUUGCAAGAAUUUUUUUUUUUUUGCAACUUUAUAUUUGCAAGAAUUUGCGCUGUACAUUUGUUAUAUGUUCAAGAAAAUGUUAGCUUCUUUUGACAUUAAUCAAAAUUUUAGUUUAAAAUUUUCGUUUAGGGAUAAAGAUUGUCAUUUAAUUUAUUCAUUAUAUUUUUUUAUUGCAUAACUCGUUAAAGAAAUUUUACCGGUCGUCAUUGAAUGCGUACGACUUACGGGCUUCGGUAUAUAUGGUACUUACUUUGGUUAAAAUAAUCUGUAUACUAUGGACUCAGAAUCUCGAUGUUCGCGAACCUAUUAAACCUAGCUAGCUAUUGUGAAGAUUUUCAUUAUCCUAUAGUUUAGACCAUCUACAGUACAUAACUACGGGUUUUUCUACAUGACUUUCUUCCAAGACUAACUAAAUAUCAGUUACAUAAAAGAAAUCAAAUGUAUCAAGAACAACCAAAUAUGGAUCCGUCCAGCAGACGGAACCUUCCCGGAAAACAACACUUUAUUAUUAAUCCAUAAAAUAGGAAAACAAGCAAAUUAAUAAUAAAAGGGUAUAAAAGGAAAGAACAGUCAACCCCAAGAAUCGUCAAGCCACAUGAAAACGAACGUCGAUUCUGACUCGGCGAAUAUCCAGUCUUGUAUAUAAAUAUACACAUACAAUGAAUCAUCCAUAGAUCUCUUACUAAACACAUUUCUCACCCAACUCUUCAAAGCAACCAACUUGAACUACCAGAGACUACUUAGGACAAGUUUUAUGGAGGGACCAAAUAGGAGGAGCAACAGCCAACCACAAGAUGACAAGCAAGCUCGCUUCCGAGGCGUACGGAGGAGGCCGUGGGGCAAAUUUGCAGCAGAGAUUCGAGACCCAUCAAGGAACGGUGCCCGUCUUUGGCUCGGGACAUUUGAGACCGCUGAGGAUGCUGCACGGGCGUAUGACAGAGCCGCCUUCAACCUUAGAGGUCAUCUAGCUAUACUUAACUUCCCUAAUGAGUAUUAUUCGCGCAUGGACGACUAUGCGCUUCGCCCUCCUUAUUCCUCUUCUUCUUCAUCAUCUUCGGGUUCAACUUCCACGGGCGUGAGUCGACAAAAUCAAAGGGAAGUUUUUGAGUUUGAGUAUUUGGACGGUAGAGUUCUUGAAGAACUUCUUGAUUCAGAAGAAGAGAAGAAACGUUAGUUUUGUUUUCUUAUUUCAUGUGGCGCUGUGGUGGCUUAGCUACGUGUAUUAUAUGUGCAUGUAUGUGCUUAUUUAUUACUUAUUUUGGAAUUUUGAUAACGUGCUAUACGGUCAUAAAUUGUAAGAUAAGAUGUAUUUUGCGUUUCCAUGAAAUAUGAUUAUUAAUUAGAUGUUUAAAGUAUAUGCACCAGCUUUCAUGAGGUCCUUUAAUUUGUAGGGGAUAUAUAUUGUUCUCUAAUGAGAUUUACAUGCAGAAACUAUUAUACGAAAUAUUUCAAUAAUAUUGAUAACCUAAUCGUAUUACUUUAUAUAAUUUGUAAACAGAUUAAGUACAUUAAUCCUAUAUGAACCGUUGAUUAAUACCUCUCAAAGAACAUAUCCUUCCUUAAACAUAAAAUGGUCCAUUAGUUUUUCGUAAUUAUUUAAUUAGCGGGAUUACCAUGAUGAGAUACUAGAAUUGAAAGCAUACAUGAGAGUGUAAUUACCAUUUUGUAACGCAUUUUGAGAAAUCUCUACGUUUACAUUUGUUUGAUUUGGUUCAGCAUAGAUACUACCAACAGAAAAUUAAAAGUUCGUGCUGUGUAAAUGAAGACAAAACAUGAAUUGUUGAUAUACUCAAUUAUCAAAUCUUUUGAGAGUAGUGAAAUAGUCAAUGGAUGAGUGAGUGAUCUAAUGAAGGUCCAGAAAUAGAUAGAUAGUACAACAAUACAGCAUGGACCAUGUGUAUGAGAAUCUAGUUCACAAACAAAAUAAGUUUAACGUGACAACGUCAUCAAGGAAGAAAUUCUACUAAAAAGCAAGGUUAAUAUUCAAAGUUGCUUCUUGAUUUGAAAAAUUAUGAAUUGGUAUAUUUUUGUAGUUAUCUUAAAUCAGCAUUCUUAUACUGUUUUAAAUAUUCAGAAUAUCGAUUUUUGAAAAAAAUAAAUAAAUAUAAGUUCAAUUCACUAUCAUGAAUUACUGAUAGUGACUACGUAUUAUCAUCUCAAUUCACACAAUAGUAAUAUUGUAGUUUAUAUUAAUGUGGUGAGUCCAGAUGGCGAUAUGUAGUCGCUUAAGUUAAACCAACUAACAAUUAACAAAAAAUACACAAUGAUGAUCUACCUAGUAAAGUGGGCCAAAUAAACCCUAAUUACUGAACCCUAAACCCAAAUAUAAACCUUAAACCCAAUUAUCAAAAUCUGAAAAUAGUAUAUAAUAUUAUAUAAUAUUAAACUAAAUCCAAACAAAACUCCUCAAUGCUAAACUCAGACCUAACUUUUGAAUACUAAACCCAAAAAUGCUAUCACUAAACCCAAAUCUAAACUCCCACCUUCCAAAUACUAAACCCUAAAUCCUAGUCACUAAACCCUAAACCCAAGUAUAGAAUAUAAACCCAAAUAGAAUGGAACAAAAUACAUAGUAUAGUAUAAAUUGGUAAGUAAAAAAAAACACUCUUUUUUAAUCGUCAAAUGGAACAUACAUAAUACGGUCACUAAACCCAAACAUCAACCCCCACCUUCCAAAUACUAAACCCUAAAUCUUAAUCAUUAAACCUAAACCCAAGUAUAAACUCUAAACCCAAAUAGUAUAGAACAAAAUACAUAGUAUAG